rnacentral:tRNA from 1 species
UGCGAGAUUAGCUCAUUUGGAUAGAGCGACAGCCUCCGGAGCUGUAGGUGGCACGUUCGAAUCGUGUAUCUCGCAA